CUAACACAUGCAAGUCGAGCGGACAAAAGGGACUUGGCUCUCUUGUGNNCGGCGGAGAGGGGAGAAUUGCCUAUGAAUCACCUUGCUGUUGGAGUAUAAUAUCUCCAAAAAACCGCUACUACUACCUAAUUCCUCCUGGAAAAACNUGGGUACCUGAUGAACUACCGUUUUCGCAUUAACUUACGUAUGAUCCCCUNGUUCGUUAGCUAAUGGGUCACCAAACCGACCANCCAAGCCUCGUUUCAUAGCAUAAUUAAUAGGGUUAUAACUCACACUGGGACUAAACCCCUACCGAAACUCCUACUGGGGAAUAUUGUACAAAAUCUUAAACCCUGAUCCAAACUUUCCCCGAGUAUCACCAAGGGCUUCAUAAUGGUUUCCACUUCAAAUAGCUCUGAAGGUCGGUAACAAAAUACGCAAUAGUUACUGCUUGCCCCUUGAAAUUACCUCCCCGUAACUCUGUGGCUAACUACGUGCCUAAUACACGAGGUAAUACCUUUUUUCGAAAAUUUUUUGCAGCGUUAAUCGGAAUUACUGGGCGUAAAAGCGCGUUUUCGUCAAGGUGGUUAUGUUAAGUUGUGAUGUGGAUCAAUCCUCCGGGCUCAACCUGGGAACUGCAUUCAAAACUGACUGACUAGAGUAUGGUAGAGGGUGGUGGAAUUUCCUGUGUAGCGGUGAAAUGCGUAGAUAUAGGAAGGAACACCAGUGGCGAAGGCGACCACCUGGACUGAUACUGACACUGAGGUGCGAAAGCGUGGGGAGCAAACAGGAUUAGAUACCCUGGUAGUCCACGCCGUAAACGAUGUCAACUAGCCGUUGGGAGCCUUGAGCUCUUAGUGGCGCAGCUAACGCAUUAAGUUGACCGCCUGGGGAGUACGGCUCGCAAGGUUUAAAACUCAAAUGAAUUUUGACGGGGGCCCGCACAAAGCGGUGGAGCAAUGUGGUUUAAUUCGGAAGCAAACGCGAAGAACCUUUACCAGGCCUUGACAUCCAAUGAACUUUCUAGAGAUAGAUUGGUGCCUUCGGGAACAUUGAGACAAGGUGCUGCAAUGGCUGUCGUCAGCUCGUGUCGUGAGAAUGUUGGGUUAAGUCCCGUAACGAGCGCAACCCUUGUCCUUAGUUACCAGCACGUAAUGGUGGGCACUCUUUAAGGAGACUCCGGGUGNCAAACCGGAGGAAGGUGGGGAGNAGGUAAAUUAUUCAUGGCCCUUUGGCCUUGGGUUACACACNUGUUCCAAUGGUNGGAACAAAGGGUUGGCAAGCCCAAAGGUUAAGCUANUCCCAAAAAAUGUUUUGUAUUCGGGAUGCCAUUUUGAAAUUGGAUUGGGGGAAGUGGGAAUNGUUNGUAAUNGGGAAUCANAAUGUNGGGGGGAAUAGUUUCCCGGCCUUUGUACACNCCCCCGGUCACNCCAUGGGAUUUGGUACCNCCAAAAGUAGUUAGUUUACCUUUANGGAGGCAGGUUCCCAAGGUGNGACUCAUGAUUGGGGUGAAGUCGUAACAAGGUAGCCGUAUC
rnacentral:rRNA from 1 species